rnacentral:rRNA from 1 species
ACGAACGCUGGCGGCGUGCUUAACACAUGCAAGUCGAACGGAAAGGCCCUGCUUUUGUGGGGUGCUCGAGUGGCGAACGGGUGAGUAACACGUGAGUAACCUGCCCUUGACUUUGGGAUAACUUCAGGAAACUUGGGCUAAUACCGGUUAGGAGCUCCUGCUGCAUGUUGGGGGUUGGAAAGUUUCGGCUGUUGGGGAUGGACUCGCGGCUUAUCAGCUUGUUGGUUGGGUAGUGGCUUACCAAUGCUUUGACGGGUAGCCGGACUGAGAGGGUGAACGGCCAAAUUGGGACGGAGAUACGGCCCAGACUCCUACGGGAGGCAGCAGUGGGGAAUAUUGCACAAUGGGCGGAAGCAUGAUGAAGAAACGCCGCGUGCGGGAUGAAGGCCUUCGGGUUGUAAACCGCUUUCGCCUGUGACGAAGCGUGAGUGACGGUAAUGGGUAAAGAAGCACCGGCUAACUACGUG